UGUGGCAGCCACCGUUCUGUGGAGGGACAGUGACACUGUGCUGCUGACAGAGCCUGUAAGGGGCUGAUGGUAUACUUUUUAUGGAAUGAAAGGACUACUAUACAAAUGAUCAUAAAAUCACCUGUUGGUAAAGGUAGCCUACUUGUUGGCUGAACUGCUCCAUGUAAGCUGGCCCACUGCUCAGCCUGCAGCUGCAGCUAAUGAAAUACUUGUCUGGAGCAAUUAGUCCAAGCUGGAGUCUCUGCCCUUCAGUUGUGUUGCACCCAAGGCUGGUGACUGCCAGUGGGAUGGAGCCC